GAUGAACGCUGGCGGCGUGCCUAAUACAUGCAAGUCGAGCGAACAGACGAGGAGCUUGCUCCUCUGACGUUAGCGGCGGACGGGUGAGUAACACGUGGAUAACCUACCUAUAAGACUGGGAUAACUUCGGGAAACCGGAGCUAAUACCGGAUAAUAUAUUGAACCGCAGGGUUCAAUAGUGAAAGACGGUUUUGCUGUCACUUAUAGAUGGAUCCGCGCCGCAUUAGCGAGUUGGUAAGGUAACGGCUUACCAAGGCAACGAUGCGUAGCCGACCUGAGAGGGUGAUCGGCCACACUGGAACUGAGACACGGUCCAGACUCCUACGGGAGGCAGCAGUAGGGAAUCUUCCGCAAUGGGCGAAAGCCUGACGGAGCAACGCCGCGUGAGUGAUGAAGGUCUUCGGAUCGUAAAACUCUGUUAUUAGGGAAGAACAAAUGUGUAAGUAACUAUGCACGUCUUGACGGUACCUAAUCAGAAAGCCACGGCUAACUACGUG
rnacentral:rRNA from 1 species